rnacentral:rRNA from 1 species
UACGUAGGGUGCAAGCGUUGUCCGGAAUUACUGGGCGUAAAGGGCUCGUAGGCGGCCAACUCAGUCGGACGUGAAAUCCCUCGGCUUAACCGGGGAACUGCGUCCGAUACUGGAUGGCUUGAGUGUGGGAGAGGGAUGCGGAAUUCCAGGUGUAGCGGUGAAAUGCGUAGAUAUCUGGAGGAACACCGGUGGCGAAGGCGGCAUCCUGGACUACUACUGACGCUGAGGAGCGAAAGCCAGGGGAGCAAACGGG